rnacentral:rRNA from 1 species
CCUACGGGUGGCAGCAGUGAGGAAUAUUGGUCAAUGGGCUUACGCCUGAACCAGCCAAGUCGCGUGAGGGAGGUCGGCCCUACGGGUUGUAAACCUCUUUUGCCGGGGAGCAACGGGCGCUACGUGUGGCGUCACUGAGAGUACCCGGAGAAAAAGCAUCGGCUAACUCCGUGCCAGCAGCCGCGGUAAUACGGAGGAUGCGAGCGUUAUCCGGAUUUAUUGGGUUUAAAGGGUGCGUAGGCGGAUCGUUAAGUCAGUGGUCAAAUUGAGGGGCUCAACCCCUUCCCGCCAUUGAAACUGGCGUUCUUGAGUGGAAGAGAAGUAUGCGGAAUGCGUGGUGUAGCGGUGAAAUGCAUAGAUAUCACGCAGAACCCCGAUUGUGAAGGCAGCAUGCCGGCUUCCGACUGACGCUGAAGCACGAAAGCGUGGGGAUCGAACAGGAUUAGAUACCCCGGUAGUC